UACCUUAUAUUUAUAAAGAAACAUAGUUUUGCUCUUAGAUAUUAAUUAUCUCGUGUAGUAUUAGUUAAAGUAAAAAUUUAACUAGCUUAAUACACGUAGUCGUAACUGAGAGGUUGAUCGACCACAAUGUGGCCUGAACAAAGCCCAUGACUUGUUUACAGCAGUGAGGAAUAUUGGUCAAUAGCCUAACGGCUGAACCAGCAACUUGGAAGAAUGUAUAGCAAUAGCUAAUUGUAAAUAAAUAAAAAAAAUCAAGUUAUCAAUUGAUUAGAUUUACAAUAACGAUUAUAUCGUAUAAAAUUCUAGAUAGAUUUAUGAUAAUGACAUUGUCUAUCUAUGUGUCUUGACCAAAUUGCGUGCCAGCAGUCGCGGCAAUACGCAGAAGACUAGUGUUAUUCAUCUUUAAUUGGUUUAAAGCGUACCUAGACGGUAAUUAUAGCCUAAAUAAGGUACUUUUUUACUAGAGUUAUAUGUGAAAGUGUAUUAAAGUACUGUUGAGUUUAGAGAUGAAAUUCUUUGACACCAGAUAAUUGGCACAGGUAAAGGCGAAAGCAUCACUUUAUGUAAUAACUGACGUUGAGGAACGAAGGCUAUGUGUCGCGAACAGGAUUAGAUACCCCAGUAGUCUUAGCAGAAAAUUAUGAGUGUCAUAGAUUAGAUUAGAUUUGAUCUAUAAAUGAAAGUGUAAGCAUUCCACCUCAAGAGUAAUUUGGCAACAUUGGAACUGAAAUCAUUAGACCGUUUCUGAAACCAGUAGUGAAGUAUGUUGUUUAAUUUGAUAACCCGCAAAAAACCUUACCACAACUUGAAUAUAAAUCAUGUAUUUUUACAAGCGUUGCACGGCUGUCUCCUGUUAAUAUCGUGAGAGAUGGUUUGUUCCAUUUAAUUAACGUAAACCCUUUCUCUUUUUUUUAUAGAGUUUUCACCAUUAUAUUGG
rnacentral:rRNA from 1 species